AGAUAAAUGUCACACCACAGACGUCACUAGCGUAUGGCGUGACAUAUGUUCUCUGUCGGGGAAGAGGUUUAGGUAGGAAAUGUUUUGUAAAAUUGGCGCGAUGCUUAAAACUUGAAGAUACAAAUGGAAACUUGACGGAAAAGGUGCAGAUUUACUUCUUUUUCGUUUUAAAACAAGACAUUCAUUUACGGUCAGAAGUGUUUACACAAUGGAUCAAAAACUGAUAAAAAAAUAAACAGGAACUGCGUUAUUUCUGUGGAAUUUUUGCUAAACAUUCCUUUCGCAAAAACAAAUUACUGACCAAAAAAAAAAUACAGCUUAAGUCAAGCAAAAGAGCUCGACUUAACUAGAAGAUAUUCUUAUAUUGAACCGUUGCAGCUAAUAUAUUUUAUGCACAGGAAGCAAGGCUUUCCUUUCAGUCGCUUUCCUGACUUUACUAGAAGGGAAAAUUUGAACACGCUUGACUGACUUAGAUUACCUCCCUUGAUAUAGCUAGCGCUAACACAAUCUGCUAACGCCGUGAACAUUGAUUAACACAUCUUGUGAUCAGGAAUAUUGUAAUUUAUAAGAUUUAACGAUCGCAGUGCGUUAUUAGGUUGAGUUCCAUAUCCAAAAUUUGAUUAUACCCCAAAAUAAACCCUCUCUUAAAGUCGUUGACCCCAAUCUUUUGGGGAACCCAAGCGAAAUGUUUGGGUUGUAUUGUUUUCCCGCGAAGACGAGAGAAGAUAAACCAAAAAAAAUAAUUCAGCGCUCAUAAAGCACCGCUUACUUUGUCUAUAUCGACAAAUAGACAAUUGGAGACACGGAAUUGUCGUCGAAUGAUACCGCACUGGGAACUAUUGCAAAAUACGUGACCUCCUAUAUUUUUAUUAGGCUACGUGAGAUAAAAGUUCACUAAUUUAAUGGUUUGACUUCGGUUUUUUGUGUGUUUUUGACAGCAGGGAUGUUUAUGGAGCCAGCUUUGAUUGGUACAGGCUGCUUGCCAUCCGAAGUGCCUUCACGAUGGAGUAAAGCGUUUCCGGAAAUAAAGUGACGAGGAUUUGCGGAGAUCAUCGCGAGGAACUUCGCUAGAAAUCAAUUGUAAUCACCAAAAGGAGUUAGGCGUGCUGUGAUUGAAACGAACUCACCUCCAUAAACUGUUAUCCAUAAACUUAGCCACUGAACAAAGACAGAGAAUCUUAACGGAACGCGACGAGAUACUAAAGUGACAACCACCCAGAGGCAAUCCUGACAUUGCACGGAUACUAAG